UACGGGGGGGGCAAGCGUUGUUCGGAAUUACUGGGCGUAAAGGGCGCGUAGGCGGCUCGUUAAGUCGGGUGUGAAAACUCUGGGCUCAACCCAGAGCCUGCAUUCGAAACUGACGAGCUAGAGUUCUGGAGGGGAAAGCGGAAUUCCUGGUGUAGCGGUGAAAUGCGUAGAUAUCUGGAGGAACACCGGUGGCGAAGGCGACAUCCUGGACCAAUACUGACGCUGAGUGAGCGAAAGCCAGGGGAGCAAACGGG
rnacentral:rRNA from 1 species